rnacentral:lncRNA from 1 species
AGAGGCAGCUGCGGCGCUCCAACCCGACAAGCGUCCCAAGGAGGUGCAGCCCCGGGGAAGCUGGCGACCCUCCCGAGCUGGGAGAAAGACAAACUUCCUCUCGCCCGCACUGCCCCCACGUCCACCGCUGCCCUGGGGGCCCCCUUCGAAGGCGAGGUCACGGCCCGUUUGGUGGUGGCUUGACCGGGGCGUCCCAGAGGAGCCAGCAAGCCCUCGCCUCCUCUGUGGGGUGUUUGCCAAGGACAGCUGGGCUCUGCGCUGCUUGCAGCCGCUGCUCCAGGAAGUCGGCCCCAAGCAGGCUUGCAGGAUUCACUAUAGAAUCCCUGCCUUUCCCCAGAGCCUGCCGGUGUUCUGCGCAGGGCCCUGCCUCGCCUUCCCACGGAGGGACGCGAAGACCCCGGGGUCUCUUCUUUCAGUUUCGCUCCAAGGUGCAGCCGCUUUCCCGGCAGCGGGACGUCUUUUAAUUGGGGACAUGUAUAUGGAUGAGGAUGGCACUCCGCCAGCAAGCCCCAGGUGGGAAGCAUGCCCUCCGGAGGGAGCUGUGCCUAGAACGUCGAAGACAGCAGGAGGAGCUGAAGGCUCUGACAAGGCCGUCAUGUAAAAACAGCAUUAAGGAUCAUGACCUUUUCCCUCGAAUGGACCCAUUUUCGUC